rnacentral:misc_RNA from 1 species
GUGAAUCAUCGAAUUUUUGAACGCAAAUUGCGCUUCCUGGCAUCCCGGGAAGUAUGCCUGUUUGAGGGUCAGUAUUAAUAAAAACUCGGUUUGGUUGCAAAUUGUGACGUUUCCGGAGUCUGGGCUGUCUUAACUUUUUUGGUUAAGGGGCUUCACAUUGUCCUUUUUUGCGCAUUUUUAGACGUACAUAAAUUUUUUUUUAUUCGACUAUUCUUAAUGUCAAAAUAUUAUUAGAUGCGAUCAAAUCGUGG